GCUGGGCGUGGUGGAGUGCGCCUGUAAUCCCAGCUACUUGGAAGGCUGAGGCAGGAGAAUUGCUUGAGCCCAGGAGGUGGAGGUUGCAGUGAGCCGAGGUCACGCCACUUCACUCCAGCCUGGGCAACAGAGCGAGACUCUGUCUCAC
ensembl:misc_RNA Metazoa_SRP Metazoan signal recognition particle RNA